rnacentral:rRNA from 1 species
AUAUGAGCGGACAGAUGGGAGCUUGCUCCCUGAUGUUAGCGGCGGACGGGUGAGUAACACGUGGGUAACCUGCCUGUAAGACUGGGAUAACUCCGGGAAACCGGGGCUAAUACCGGAUGCUUGUUUGAACCGCAUGGUUCAAACAUAAAAGGUGGCUUCGGCUACCACUUACAGAUGGACCCGCGGCGCAUUAGCUAGUUGGUGAGGUAAUGGCUCACCAAGGCAACGAUGCGUAGCCGACCUGAGAGGGUGAUCGGCCACACUGGGACUGAGACACGGCCCAGACUCCUACGGGAGGCAGCAGUAGGGAAUCUUCCGCAAUGGACGAAAGUCUGACGGAGCAACGCCGCGUGAGUGAUGAAGGUUUUCGGAUCGUAAAGCUCUGUUGUUAGGGAAGAACAAGUACCGUUCGAAUAGGGCGGUACCUUGACGGUACCUAACCAGAAAGCCACGGCUAACUACGGCCAGCAGCCGCGGAAUACGAGGGG